rnacentral:lncRNA from 1 species
UAAAAGGCAGGCGUGUCAGAGAGGGUGAGGGAUCUCCGUAACACCUCAUUUCAUUUUUUUAAAGGAGGGGGACACUUCCCCGCCGCCUGCAGCCUUGACCUCCAAGGCGGGGGUAGGGACCGUUGUGGCUCUUUCCUGAGGCUGUUUCCUGUCUGGCUCCUGGGGGCCCUCGGGAUGGCUGGGAGGGCCCUUCCUCUCAUUUGCUAGCACCCCCUCUCAUCCAUCAGUUUGAGGGGAGGGUCCAGGAAAGACGGCCUCCUAUCUACAUCAGGGCACUGUGAGUGUGGGGCACGGGAUGGUUGGAUGAGAGAGGUGCUGUUCCCGAAGUCGGUCCUUUAAGGGCUGCGGUAAGGAGACUUUAAUUUAAGGAAGCACCCUCCAUUUAUCCUGUGUGUGUGAGGUCAUUCCUUCCACUCCCGG